rnacentral:rRNA from 1 species
CGACGAAUCUUCCGCAAUGGGCGCAAGCCUGACGGAGCGACGCCGCGUGUGGGAUGAAGCGCCUCUGGCGUGUAAACCACUGUCAGGAAAUAGAAUCAAUGAUCGUUUCCAGAGGAAGGGGCGACUAACUCUGUGCCAGCAGUCGCGGUAAGACAGAGGCCCCGAGCGUUAAUCGGAAUCACUGGGCUUAAAGGGUGCGUAGGCCGGCCCGCAAGUGCUUUGUGAAAUCCCCCGGCUCAACCGGGGAACAGCGGGGCAUACUGCGGGUCUUGAGGAAGGUAGGGGUUGCCGGAACUGUAGGUGGAGCGGUGAAAUGCGUAGAUAUCUACAGGAACGCCGAUGGUGAAGACGGGCAACUGGGCCUUUCCUGACGCUGAGGCACGAAAGCGUGGGGAGCAAACAGGAUUAGAUACCCCCGUAGUCC